GGGAUGAGUCUUUGCACUGGGCACUGACCACUUCAUUGAAGUGGAACAUGAGCGAAUAUGCGUCUAGUAGGCCUAGAAAACCUACGCUACUGAUUUC
rnacentral:snoRNA from 1 species